GCGUCUGUAGUGUAACGGAUGAGCACGGGCUCCCGAAAAGAGUGAGAUGCGGGUUCUAGUCUCGCCUGACGCG